rnacentral:rRNA from 1 species
CCUACGGGUGGCAGCAGUGAGGAAUAUUGGUCAAUGGCCGGAAGGCUGAACCAGCCAUGCCGCGUGAAGGUCGAUGCCCUAUGGGCUGUAAACUUCUUUUUUACGGGACGAAGAAAGUGACGGUACCUUACGAAUAAGCCACGGCUAACUACGUGCCAGCAGCCGCGGUAAUACGUAGGUGGCAAGCGUGAUCCGGAUUUACUGGGUGUAAAGGGCGAGUAGGCGGGAUUGCAAGUCAGAUGUGAAAACUAUGGGCUCAACCGAUAGAGUGCAGUUGAAACUGCAGUUCUUGAGUGAUGGAGAGGCAGGCGGAAUGCGCGGUGUAGCGGUGGAAUGCGUAGAUAUCGGGAGGAACACCAGUGGCGAAGGCGGCCUGCUGGACAUUAACUGACGCUGAGGCGCGAAAGCGUGGGGAGCAAACAGGAUUAGAUACCCCGGUAGUC